rnacentral:rRNA from 1 species
CCUACGGGUGGCAGCAGUGGGGAAUAUUGCACAAUGGGGGAAACCCUGAUGCAGCGACGCCGCGUGAGUGAAGAAGUAUUUCGGUAUGUAAAGCUCUAUCAGCAGGGAAGAAAAAGACGGUAACUGAUCUAGAAGCCCCGGCCAACUACGUGCCAGCAGCCGCGGGAAUACGUAGGGGGCAAGCGUUAUCCGGAUUUACUGGGGGUAAAGGGAGCGUAGACGGCAGCACAAGUCUGGAGUGAAAUGCCGGGGCUUAACCCCGGGACUGCUUUUGAAACUGUGCGGCUAGAGUGCAGGAGUGGUAAGUGGAAUUCCUAGUGUAGCGGUGAAAUGCGUAGAUAUUAGGAGGAACACCAGUGGCGAAGGCGGCUUACUGGACUGUAACUGACGUUGAGGCUCGAAAGCGUGGGGAGCAAACAGGAUUAGAUACCCGAGUAGUC